AACAGCAAAGGACAGUAAGGAGUAUGCCCUAGGCAGAGAGUACGUGUGUGUGCAGACCACCACUUUGUGGCUCUCUCUCUUUGUGGCAAGGGUAUUCGCAUCACAAUUUAGGUGCAAUGUGGAGCCCUUCUUACAGACCAGACCCAAGCUAACUGGCUUAGGUGUGUUUUCCCGGUUAGUCCUCACCAACAUCCCAUAAGGCCAGUACACUUAGUGCCCAUCUUAUAGAUAAGGAAACUGAGGCUCAGAGAGGUUUAGCAACUUGGGUAAGAGGCAGAGGUAUGGCCCCAGGCUACUCCGUGCUGCCUCUGCACAAUGCCCUCAUUUGGCAGGCAGCAACUGAGCACCUACUAUGUGCAGGCCCUAAGCCAGGUGCUUCCUGGAUUCAGGCCCUGGCAUCACAUUCCAGAGUGUCCUCAGAUGGCUGGCAUCUCUCAUUGUCAUCUGGGCACGAUGAUCAGAGGAAGCUCUCUCCAGGGUAUAUGUGGGUAUGGGGGAGAGGAGUGUGGGUGGGAGCCUGGAGGCCCCUGCUUGAUAGCUGUGAGUUCUCCCUCAUGAAAGCCUCAGUUUCUUCACCUGUAAAACGGGGCCGUGAUGCCUGCUGUGCAGGCCCAUGUGACAACGUGCCUUGAAAGCGUGUGGGAAAAGUGCUUUGUGUGUUCAGUGAGCCCUCAAACUGGGCUGACUCUCCUCAAACCACCAGGAGCGAGCUUCCCGGAACAAUCUAGCCACCAGCCUUUCCCUGCAGCUGACAGGCUGCGGUCACCACCGCCACCACCACCCUGAAUUAUUCAAGACCCUCCAGGCCUCAGUGGCAGCCCUUCCCCUCUCCCUGUGCAACCAGGCUGUCAACACCAGACUCUAGGCCUCUGCCAGUGAUCUAUGGACCUCAGGGCCCCCGAGCUUCAGCCUGCUCAGGCUCUGCUUGUCAUGGCUGAAAUCCCCUGGACUGCAUUGGGACCAUACUGCUGAGAGUCUGGUUGCUGGGCUUCAGCUGACAGAACAUCAGAGCCCCAGGAUGGGAUAGCCACAAGUUGGGAAGCUGCCACCACUGGGAAUGGUACAUUCAGGAGGGCAUGGUUUUACAGAGAAGUUUGAGGCCCAGAGAUGUGCGAGCUGCACUCAAAGUCACACAGCAAGUUUGGUUCAUUAGCAGGGUAAGUUCU
rnacentral:lncRNA from 1 species